rnacentral:rRNA from 1 species
AGUGAACGCUGGCGGUAGGCCUAACACAUGCAAGUCGAACGGCAGCACAGUAAGAGCUUGCUCUUACGGGUGGCGAGUGGCGGACGGGUGAGGAAUACAUCGGAAUCUACUUUUUCGUGGGGGAUAACGUAGGGAAACUUACGCUAAUUCCGCAUACGACCUACGGGUGAAAGCAGGGGAUCUUCGGACCUUGCGCGAUUGAAUGAGCCGAUGUCGGAUUAGCUAGUUGGCGGGGUAAGGGCCCACCAAGGCGACGAUCCGUAGCUGGUCUGAGAGGAUGAUCAGCCACACUGGAACUGAGACACGGUCCAGACUCCUACGGGAGGCAGCAGUGGGGAAUAUUGGACAAUGGGCGCAAGCCUGAUCCAGCCAUACCGCGUGGGUGAAGAAGGCCUUCGGGUUGUAAAGCCCUUUUGUUGGGAAAGAAAAGCAGCAGGUUAAUACCCCGCUGUUCUGACGGUACCCAAAGAAUAAGCACCGGCUAACUUCGUG